AAUAUGUCGUAAUGAGUUGCAAUGAGUUGCAAUAAAUUACAUAUUUUUAGCUGGUGCAAUACGAGAUUUACAUUUGUUUUGUUUAUUCAAGGAUCAUAAUUAAACUGAGAAACCGAUAUGUGAUGAAAACAAAGGUGAAAAAUUUGAUACCUGUCACUCUGCCUGUCCUGUUACUUGUUCUAACUACAAAGAUGAAGAUCGUGUCUGCACCUUGCAAUGUGUAGUAGGAUGCGGAUGUCCAAGUGGAACAGUCCGAAGAGAAUCUGACAAACUUUGUGUAAAAUCAUCAGAAUGCUGAAAUUAGCGUAUUCACAAUUUUAUGUAAAACCAUACCCUGACAAUUUA